GAUAGUAAAUAUCUUUCAAAUCAGAUAUUGUUAUGACUGGAGUUAAUGGUGAAUCAUCAUCUACAGUGCAAUUUCCACUUUUUGGUGGUUUUAAAAUGCUGUAGGAUGAUAGAAUUUUGUAAAGUUGGAGAAAUAUAGGUGCUGAUGGGUGAUCAUUAGAUCCUGCAGCCUGAUGAAUUAUUCCGAAAAACAUCUAGUUGAUAAAUACUUAAAGUUCCAGCAUGAAUGUAAGUACUUACAGAGAUCUAAAGUAGACUGAAUGGUGACUUAAGCCACAAGCAGUUAUGUCAGUUAAAUAUUCACAUUUAUUUAUCAUUCCAUCUGUGUAUUGUUUUUCCCAAUCAUCCAACCAAAUUAAAAAUGAUUAAAGAAACUAACAACAUACCAGAUAAUCAUUAUCAUUUACUUAAAGUUCUUCAGCACCAAAUUUACUAUUAAGAGUAUCAAAACAGUCAUUAAAUUUACGGCAGAACAUAGCUGUAGUAUCACAAUCUUCUAAGUUAGGAAUAUUAUAAGAUUUAUAGAAUAAUAAGCCGUUACAAACUGAAUUACUCAAAACCUUCAAAUUACAAAAACAUUGGUACAAAUAAAUUG